UGUGAGACAAACCCCAGCCACAUCUCCAGCACACAAGAACUUCCAAACUCCUGAACCGCAGCAGCCAGGCAUUCGUCCAGAACCCCCUCCCCCAGGAGCUUGCUACACAUGCCAGAAAUCUGGCCACUGGGCCAAGGAAUGCCCGCAGCCCGGGAUUCCUCCUAAGCCGCAUCCCAUCUGUGUGGGACCCCACUGAAAAUCGGACUGUUCAACUCACCUGGCAGCCACUCCCAGAACCCCUGGAACUCUGGCCCAAGGCUCUCUGACUGCUUCCCAGAUCUUCUUGGCUUAGCGGCUGAAGACUGACACUGCCCGAUCACCUCGGAAACCCCCUAGACCAUCACAGACGCCGAGCUUCAGGUAACUCUCACAGUGGAAGGUAAGCCCGUCCCCUUCUUAAUCAAUAUGGAGGCUACCCACUCCACAUUACCUUCUUUUCAAGGACCUGUUUCCCUCUAUCGCCAAACUGCCACUCUUAACUCUUGAACUAAAUAAAUAAUCUUUGCUGGCAGGACUAUGCUGAAUCUCCUUAGGCACUCUCUAAUCAGAUGCCCUAGGUCCUCCCAAUUCUUAGACCUUUUAUACCUGUCUUUCUCCUUCUGUUAUUCCAUUUAGUUUCUCAAUUCAUCCAAAACCGUAUCCAGGCCAUCACCAAUCAUUCUAUACGACAAAUGUUUCUUCUAACAUCCCCACAGUAUCACCACUUACCUCAAGGCCUCCCUUCAGCUUAAUCUCUCCCACUCUAGGUUCCCACGCCGCCCCUAACCCCACUCGAAGCAGCCCUGAGAAACAUCGCCCAUUCUCUCUCCAUACCACCCCCCAAAAAUUUUCGCUGCCCCAACACUUCAACACUAUUUUGUUUUAUUUUUCUUAUUAAUAUAAGAAGGCAGGAAUGUCGGACCUCUGAGCCCAAGCCAAGCCAUCGCAUCCCCUGUGACUUGCACAUAUACGCCCAGAUGGCCUGAAGUAACUGAAGAAUCACAAAAGAAGUGAAUAUGCCUUGCCCCACCUUAACUAAUGACAUUCCACCACAAAAGAAGUGUAAAUGGCCGGUCCUUGCCUUAAGUGAUAACAUUACCUUGUGAAAGUCCUUUUCCUGGCUUAUCCUGGCUCAAAAAGCACCCCCACUGAGCACCUUGCGACCCCCCCACUCCUGCCCACCAGAGAACAACCCUCCUUUGACUGUAAUUUUCCUUUACCUACCCACAUCCUAUAAAACAGCCCCACCCCUAUCUCCGUUCGCUGACUCUCUUUUCGGACUCAGCCCGCCUGCACCCAGGUGAAAUAAACAGCCAUGUUGCUCACACAAAGCCUGUUUGGUGGUCUCUUCACACGGACACGCAUGAAACUCUGUUCCUCAAUUCAUUCAUUCUCCCUAGUAAUCAUUUAUUGCCCCCCACCAACAGAAUUUUUCUCCCAUUCCCAUAACCUGCUUUGCCAGAAUCCAAGCCCCCAUUCUUUCAGUAACCUCAAGAUGGUAUAUAAAUUUCUGCACCCCAUUGGGAGUGGAUCUUCAUUUUGAAGGCUCCCAUGUACAUGUUAAAUACAUUUGUAUGUCUUUUCUCCUACUAAUCUGCCUCUUGUCAGUUAUUUUCAGAGAACUUUCAGAGGGUAAAGAAGUUUUCCCUUGGCCCCAACAUUGUUCAGUUACUGAAUACUGAUUAACCAUUCAUUAUAAUUUUUUUAAAAAGACCUUUGUGAAAGAAUAGAAAUAUCCUAAAUACUCACAGUUUGUUUAUUGUGUUGCCAGUGGAGGGUCUUGACUACGAGUUGUCCAGGUCCUUCGCAUUUUAAACAAAUAAUUGAACAAAACGCACUAAGUAGCAGAGGCAUGAAAUGCGGGGAUGAAGCAGCGAAAGCAGGAAUUUAUGAAAUCGAGAAAGCACUCCGCAGGGUGGCAGUGGGCCCGAGCAAGUGGCUUAAGAGCCCAGUUACAAACUUUUCCAGGCUUUAAGUACCCCCUUUGAGGUUCUUAUCGGCUACCCCUUAUCUGGAUGAAAGAUUUGGUCUGUGGCUAAAGGCUGAGGUGAAUUGGUGCCCUAUGCAGAUAAAGGGAUGGUCUCUGGUUGGCCUGCGGCCAGUCUAAGGCACUCUCCUUUCCCAUCUGAGAUGUGGUGGAAGGGGAAGGAUUUUAGGGAGAGUAGCCUUUGAUCCCUUGUUACUAGGCAUGGGGAAAUUGGGUUUUUCUAUUUUGGUUUAGCUUUAAGAAGUUUGUGUUAAUUGGCCUUAGAUUGCCUGCCCCCAGACCCAGGUGUUUUCCUUUUGAUCCAGCUUUGGGAAGUCAGUGCAAAUUGGCCUUAGAUUUCCUGCCCCCAGACCUUGGUGUUAUUUCUUUUAGGAAGUUAGCACAAAUUGGCCUUAAGUUCCCUGUCUCCAGACCCUAUUCUCCUGCCUCAAUUGUACACGUUGAGAUAGACUUCUGAUAUUUUUGUGGCCUAUUUCUCACUGGAGCACACACUUUUAACUUGGUUGCUGUAAACCAAAACUAAAAUUCUAAGCCCCUCAACCAUCUGAAUUGACCUCUCCUCUUGGCCAAGGGAAUUCCAAAGUUAACCUGAAAAACUAGAUCAGGCCAUGAUGGGAAGCUGGGGUUGGAUAUGCCACAUUAUUCCCUCCUCCCUUUUGGAAUUCAGGCACAGCUGACCAGCGUUAACAUUAAAACAGAUCUUAAGACUGACAAAGCAGACUCUUUAUAGCAAUGAGACACCAAAUUCCAGCCUGACUCUAGUAUAGCAUCACAUGAAAGAUACGAGACCCUGAAAUAAGUCAAAGUAUUUUACCCCAAAUAUGUUUCUUUGUCAUAUCUUGAAAUAGUCCUGCAAAGCCAUCUCUUGAGGGGAAAAUAUACAUUCUGAAGAGAAUCAUCUGUCUUUUCCAGGACUUUUUCCUUGUCCAGGAGAGAAUCAACUCUGAUAAGAAACAUUUACAAUCUAUUUUCUCUGAAGCUUGCUACCUGGAGGCUUCCCCUAUGUAACAGGAACCUUGGUCUCCACAACCCGUUAUCUCAAUCCAGACAUCCCCUUCUAUUGAUUCUGGGUUUUUAGACAAUAACUUACCUCUUUCAACCAAUUGCCAAUCAGAAAAUCUUUGAAUCUACUCAUGACCUGGAAGUCCCCCAUUGCUCUGAGUUGUCCCACCUUUCUGUACUGAACUGUUGCAGGAAAAGGGUCCUGAUACAGAUUUCAAGAGAUGGCUCUUGGAUCUUGCACAAGAAAGAAUCUGGGGCAAGUCCACAGAGUAAAAUGAAAGCAAGUUUAUUAAGAAAGUAAAGGAAUGGAAGAACAGCUACUCCACAGACAGAGCAGGGCAUUCUCAAAAGCAAGAGGAGGAACACGCUCACCUUAGCCUUCUUUAGUGGAGUUGAGGCAUUCCACAUGUUCCAUCAUAGCUGAUCCAGAUACAGAAACUACAAAGAAAUACAGUGCAUAUGAAGCAACCCAAGGUCAGGUAAUAUUUCCAAGUAACAAUUUCCUGGACUGUAUUUCAACUCCCAUCUUUUUCUUGCCCUUGUUUUAAGAGCCAAGGAUUUGAGACAGAACACUGAAGAUUGAUUCACAAAGGCAGCACAAUUUGUUUAAAAUUGUGAGAUAUGUAAUUUACGUGAACCUGAUAUUUUAAAGGACUUAGGAGAAGAGAGGCAAGCUUGUGAAUAACCAGGACUUUACCAUGAAGAGAGCAACUCACUGUAUUAAGCAAUAUUUAUUGAACCUACCGUUAAAAGAAAAACCUUAGACAAAUUAAAUUUAGCAGAGUUUAAUUGAGCAAAGAAUGAUUCGUGAAUUGGGAAGCCUCUGAACCAAAAUAGGUUCAGAGAGGAUCCAGCCUGCCUUAUGGUGGAAGAAGAUUUGUGGACAGAAAAAGGAAAGUGAAGUACAGAAAUGGAAGUGAGGUAUAGAAACAGCCAGAUUGGCUACAGCUUGCUGUUUGUCUUAUUUGAACAUGGUUUGAACAGUUGGCUGUCCUCUAUUGGCUAAAACUCAGGGACUGGCACAAGAGUAGGUUACAGUCUGUUUACACAUCAAGUUAGGUUAUAGUUCACUGUGUAUGGAGAAACCUUUAAAAUAUGUAAAGAGGUGGCUUUUGGCUAAACUUAAUUAAACACUACUAUGUGAAACAUUGUGUAAUACUGAAUUCUAUUAUAUUCUUUAAAACCUUUCUUCUGCCUUUUUUUUUUUUUUUUUUUUC
rnacentral:lncRNA from 1 species